GCUUAUGAUUAAAAAUAGCCAAGUGAGUUUCUUUUACAAUCGAUAUACUUAGUUUUUUGUGACAGCACAUAUUAAAUGUUUCUUUUUUAUCAAGUAAUAAUUAGAUGGUACCAUUUUCUUAGUUGUGAAGUUCCAAGCAUUGAGACAGUAUGUGCCCAGUAAUGCUCCCAUCACUUGUGACUCUAGGGAUAAGUGACUGAGUCCAGAUAUGACGUACAGUACACUGGUAAUAUUGUCUCAAAGUGUUAUUAGGCUAUAGAAACCUUUUCUGCUUUACUCAAUGGAGGCUUAUAGCUCAUGAUCUUUUGCUCACAAACUAAAAAUGAACUCCCACAAACAAAUCCAACAGCAAAAGGCUAGGAAUUUUUGAUACACUGGCACCAAGAAUCUAUCCUAAAAUAAUGACUGACUUUCAAUCCUGUCACACCUAUAUCAUGGAUUUUCAGUAGCCUGCAUGACAAUCAGCCUAGCAUAUGAUACGAUCAUGAUGAUCAACCUCAACAUGCACAAUACAAGGACCAUUUUAGAAUUGACUGGUUCAACCAGAUCAACAGGCAUGAUUUGUUUAUACUAAUAACUAAUGUUCAUAAUAUUAUGUUAAAUUAUUCAUAGUAAAGGUGUAGUGGUUUUUGUUUUAAAAAAUUGAA